rnacentral:rRNA from 1 species
GAUGAACGCUGGCGGCGUGCUUAACACAUGCAAGUCGAACGAAGCACUUUCUUACGAUCCCUUCGGGGUGACGAGUUAGUGACUGAGUGGCGGACGGGUGAGUAACGCGUGGGUAACCUGCCUUAUACAGGGGGAUAACAGUUGGAAACGGCUGCUAAUACCGCAUAAGCGCACAGUACCGCAUGGUACAGUGUGAAAAACUCCGGUGGUAUAAGAUGGACCCGCGUCUGAUUAGCUAGUUGGUGAGGUAACGGCCCACCAAGGCGACGAUCAGUAGCCGAUCUGAGAGGAUGAACGGCCACAUUGGGACUGAGACACGGCCCAGACUCCUACGGGAGGCAGCAGUGGGGAAUAUUGCACAAUGGGCGAAAGCCUGAUGCAGCGACGCCGCGUGAGUGAUGAAGUAUUUCGGUAUGUAAAGCUCUAUCAGCAGGAAGAUAAUGACGUA